CCAUGAAAAACCAAUCGGGAGUCCGUUCUGGCACCGUGUUGGAGGGGGAGAUAAUCUCCGGUGGCCAUCUUCAUCAUCCCGGUGGAGGCCAUGACGAGGAGGGAGCUGUCCACCCUCAGGGCUGAGGGUUUGUACAAGUAGCUAUGUGUUCAAUCUUUCUCUCUCUCUCUCUCUCUCUCUCUCUCUCGUGUUCUUGAGAUGUCAUGAUCUUGAUAUAUCACGGGCCUUGUUCAUAUAGUUGGAUCAUAUGGUGUUUGUCCCAAGAUAUUGUUAUGAUGAAUUAUGUCUUUCACUUUAAGAUCUCGUUAUGUUGGAUUGAAUAUUCAGGUUUGAG
rnacentral:lncRNA from 1 species